rnacentral:lncRNA from 1 species
CACAACCCCCAGUAGUUACAGAAAACAGAGUUGGGAUGUAAAUUCCCUCCACUUAGACUAUAUUCUGUGUGUCCCAGGCAGCAGUGGGCAAGAGGGCAUUUGGUCCUACAACAGGCUUCACCAGAGGUUUCCAUGUAGGAUGUUUUGGAGCCGGGGGGGACAUCCUGCUGCGUUCUGGUGGAGGGCUGUCAGAAUGGGACGGGCCAGGAUGCUGGAGCCCAGCGCCCCAAACCGUUGUGACUGCCUGGGAUUGGUAACAUCUCGAGUGAUACGUGUUGGAUCAUCCCAACAGAGCUGGAUCAGCAAAGCUUGGCUUCAGGAGACAAAAAUAGGAUUUGUGGGUUACCAGAAGCUGUUUGAGUUCUAG